GAUGAACGCUGGCGGCGUGCAUAACACAUUCAAGUCGAACGAGGUAGCAAUACCUAGUGGCGGACGGGUGAGUAACGCGUGAGCAACCUGCCCUUGUGUGGGGGAUACCGUCUGGAAACGGACGUUAAUACCGCAUAACAUAGCGGAAUCGCAUGGUUCUGCUAUCAAAGAUUUAUUGCGCAAGGAUGGGCUCGCGUUGGAUUAGAUAGUUGGUGAGGUAACGGCCCACCAAGUCUGCGAUCCAUAGCCGGACUGAGAGGUUGAACGGCCACAUUGGGACUGAGACACGGCCCAGACUCCUACGGGAGGCAGCAGUGGGGAAUAUUGGGCAAUGGGCGAAAGCCUGACCCAGCAACGCCGCGUGAAGGAAGAAGGCCUUCGGGUUGUAAACGUUCUUUAGUCAGGGACGGAAAACUAGACGGUACCUGCAGAAAAAGCAACGGCUAACUACGUG
rnacentral:rRNA from 1 species